CUUCCAUUUGUGCAACAGAGCCACUUGAUCGAACAUCACUACGACGACGCUACUUGGGCAGGAGCCUUUCCUAUCUUAAAAUCAUCACUUAUAAAAAAAAAAAAACAUAGCAGUAAUACUCCAUUGUAGCAUUCAAGUUAAGCUUUUUUGAGGUAUUAAUUUAUUUGGCCACAAGCACAUUGCAAUCAGAACUCAGUUUGAAUUUUACCUUGCUGUAGAACUGAAGUCGCUGAGUUUUUCGUUUUUUUUUCGUUCCGUUGUGUUAUCUUCUUAUUGCAAAAAUGUUUUUGUGUUGUUGUCGUACAAGUAAAUCAAUCGAUUUGCAGUCUGUCCCAUCAGCGACUCCUAAAAAUACUUCAAAUACAAUUAUAACAGCUGAACCAUCACGCAGUGCGCCACCCCCAACUGAUUAUACCAAUGAACGGCAAAUUUCAUGAGACUAAAAAUAAAUAAUAUGUACUUUAAGUGUGAAAUACAAGUAUGGACUUUUGUUUUUCUUAACAAAUUAUAAGUUACUUUAAACAGUA